UACGUAGGGGUGCGAGCGUUUGUCCGGAAUUAUUGGGGCGUAAAAGAGCUUGUAGGCGGUCUGUCGCGUCUGCUGUGAAAAAUCCGGGGGCUCAACCCCCGGACUUGCAGUGGGUACGGGGCAGACUAGAGUGUGGUAGGGGGAGACUGGAAUUCUUGGUGUAGCGGUGAAAAUGCGUAGAUAUCAAGAGGAACACCUGAGGUGAAGACGGGUUGCUGGGCCGACACUGACGCUGAGUGCGCGAAAGCCAGGGGAGCAAACGGG
rnacentral:rRNA from 1 species